rnacentral:rRNA from 1 species
UACAGAGGGUGCAAGCGUUGCUCGGAUUUACUGGGCGUAAAGCGUACGCAGACGGUGAGAAAGGUCGGAUGUGAAAGCCCCGGGCUCAACCCGGGAACUGCAUCCGAAACCAUCUCGCUAGAGUAUGGGAGAGGGAAGCGGAAUUCCUGGUGUAGAGGUGAAAUUCGUAGAUAUCAGGAGGAACACCUGCGGCGAAGGCGGCUACCUGGACCAGCACUGACACUGAGGCACGAAAGCGUGGGGAGCAAACAGG